GCAUCGCCAGCUCAUCGGUAGAGCAUUCGACCGAUAAUCGAAAGGCGGGUGGUUCGACUCCACCGCGAUGCACCA
rnacentral:tRNA from 1 species